rnacentral:rRNA from 1 species
CGGGACGGGUGAGUAAUGUCUGGGAAACUAGCCUGAUGAGGGGGAGUAACUACUGGAAACGGUAGCUAAUACCGCAUAACGUCGCAAGACCAAAGAGGGGGACCUUCGGGCCUCUUGCCAUCGGAUGUGCCCAGAUGGGAUUAGCUAGUAGGUGGGGUAACGGCUCACCUAGGCGACGAUCCCUAGCUGGUCUGAGAGGAUGACCAGCCACACUGGAACUGAGACACGGUCCAG